rnacentral:rRNA from 1 species
GGAUUAGAUACCCUGGUAGUCCUAGCUGUAAACGAUGGAUACUAGACGUAGGAACUGGAUUGACGGUUUCUGUGUCGCAGCUAACGCGUUAAGUAUCGCGCCUGGAGAGUACGGUCGCAAGACUAAAACUCAAAGGAAUUGACGGGGGCCCGCACAAGCAGUGGAGUAUGUGGUUUAAUUCGAUGCAACGCGCAGAACCUUACCCGGCCUUGACAUCCUGUGAAAUCCUCCGAAAAGAGGACGUGCUACCGCAAGGUAGAACGCAGUGACAGGUGCUGCAUGGCUGUCGUCAGCUCGUGUUG